rnacentral:rRNA from 1 species
ACACAUAACGGAGAAAAGAAGACCAACAGGGAUUGCCUUAGUAACGGCGAGUGAAGCGGCAACAGCUCAAAUUUGAAAUCUGGCCUCUUUGGGGUCCGAGUUGUAAUUUGCAGAGGGCGCUUUGGCGUUGGCAGCGGUCCAAGUUCCUUGGAACAGGACGUCACAGAGGGUGAGAAUCCCGUACGUGGUCGCUAGCCUUCGCCGUGUAAAGCCCCUUCGACGAGUCGAGUUGUUUGGGAAUGCAGCUCUAAAUGGGAGGUAAAUUUCUUCUAAAGCUAAAUACUGGCCAGAGACCGAUAGCGCACAAGUAGAGUGAUCGAAAGAUGAAAAGCACUUUGGAAAGAGAGUCAAACAGCACGUGAAAUUGUUGAAAGGGAAGCGCUUGCAGCCAGACUUGCCUGUAGUUGCUCAUCCGGGCUUUUGCCCGGUGCACUCUUCUGCGGGCAGGCCAGCAUCAGUUUGGGCGGUUGGAUAAAGGUCUCUGUCAUGUACCUCUCUUCGGGGAGGCCUUAUAGGGGAGACGACAUGCAACCAGCCCAGACUGAGGUCCGCGCAUUUGCUAGGAUGCUGGCGUAAUGGCUGUAAGCGGCCCGUCUUGAAACACGGACCAAGGAGUCUAACAUCUAUGCGAGUGUUUGGGUGUCAAGCCCGAGCGCGCAAUGAAAGUGAACGGAGGUGGGAACCCCUCGGGGCGCACCAUCGACCGAUCCUGAUGUCUUCGGAUGGAUUUGAGUAAGAGCAUAGCUGUUGGGACCCGAAAGAUGGUGAACUAUGCUUGAAUAGGGUGAAGCCAGAGGAAACUCUGGUGGAGGCUCGCAGCGGUUCUGACGUGCAAAUCGAUCGUCAAAUUUGGGCAUAGGGGCGAAAGACUAAUCGAACUAUCUAGUACUGGUCUCACC